AUUGAACGCUGGCGGCAUGCCUAACACAUGCAAGUCGAGCGAGCGGCGGACGGGUGAGUAAUGUAUGGGGACUGCCCGAUAGAGGGGGAUAACUACUGGACACGGUAGCUAAUACCGCAUACUAUCGGAUAACCCAUAUGGUAUUAGCUAGUAGGUGAGGUAAUGGCUCACCUAGGCGACGAUCCCUAGCUGGUCUGAGAGGAUGAUCAGCAACACUGGGACUGAGACACGGCCCAGACUCCUACGGAGGAAGCAGUGGGGAAUAUUGCACAAUGGGCGAAAGCCUGAUGAAGCAAUGCCGCGUGAGUGAAGAAGGCCCUAGGGUUGUAAAGUACUGUCAGUCGGGAGGCGUUACCGAAAGAAGAAGCACCGGCUAACUACGUGCCAGCAGCCGCGGUAAUAC
rnacentral:rRNA from 1 species